CCCAUGCCUUUCUUUAGUUCUUUUUUUAUUUAUUAAUGGAUUGAACUAACUUGGGUUUUUGCAUGGACAGCAACAUCAAUAGCAAUAGAAGACCCUAUAAUCAAUUGGAUGCUUCUGGGAUUCAGCUUCACAAGUGACUUGGAACCAAAAGAGACAAAUUCUCUUAUUGUCCUUUUUGUGCUGUAACUUUCCCAAGGUCAAUAACCAAAGAGGACCUUGAGACCUUCAAUUGGCAAGAAGUAGAGUUCCACUUCCCCUUUUCUUGCUCAUCGCCAG
rnacentral:lncRNA from 1 species